CAAGCGUUGUUCNGAAUUAUUGGGCGUAAAGCGCGUGUAGGCGGUUUCUUAAGUCUGAUGUGAAAGCCCCGGGCUCAACCUGGGAAGUGCAUUGGAAACUGGGAGACUUGAGUACGGGAGAGGGUAGUGGAAUUCCUAGUGUAGGAGUGAAAUCCGUAGAUAUUAGGAGGAACACCGGUGGCGAAGGCGGCUACCUGGACCGAUACUGACGCUGAGACGCGAAAGCGUGGGGAGCAAACAGGAUUAGAUACCCUGGUAGUCCACGCCGUAAACGAUG
rnacentral:rRNA from 1 species